CUCUGCCUUCGCUCGCGCCGCUCUCCUUCAGUCUCCCCAGGGCCUGUUUCAUGGAUAGGGUCCCCUUGCCCGCGUGAAAGUCUCAUUCCUCCUCAGCUCAGAAACACUCCAAGGUGCGGGGACUCGUGGAAGGAUUUGAUUCGCGCUUGAGAAAGAUCGCUCCGCUCCUGUAAGGAAGAGAGCGUGUAGGGGCUGCAACCAGAGACACAGUCAGAAGCUCCGAGGCUACCGCGAUGGUCCAGGUGCCACAGGACACAGCCUAACAGAGGCCCAGGUUGGAGCCAUGGACCAUGGAGUCAUGAGAAUGGAAGGGAAGCUGACGCCAUGUGGGAUGGGGUAGAACUGUCCGCAAAUUCGUCCCGCCUCUGGAGUCUUCAGACCAGUCAAGGCCGAAAUUCAACCAAGCCUCUCCUCUCUCUAGCUGUUAUUUGUUUGCAGCACGCGGUCUGGUGGCACCCUGCAGGAUUUACCAGCUUUUUGCCAACAUUCUGGCCUAUGCAAUCAAUACGUCCCUUCAGCGUUGCACUUGGAUGGAUUGGACCUAUAGUUGUUAUAUAUGGAUAUUGUCUAAUUUAUUUAUUACAGUAUUAACUGACUCCUAUGUUCUGGCCUUCAGAAUUUCUCCUUUGGAUCAAUUACUAGCCUGUCUUACAUUUUCUGCUUCAUUCUUUUAAAAUGUUUAGAGAUGAUUUGCUAAGUUUUCUUCAUUGCUGUCAAUGAUGCAAUUUAAACUGUCAAAAAAAUUUUUUCUCAAGCAGGGUAGUAAUGGUGAACCAUUCCCUUGCUAUUCAGACAGCAUGGUUUAGAUGAGGCGCACCUAUCCCCAGCUUUAGGAAUGGAAACAG
rnacentral:lncRNA from 1 species